rnacentral:rRNA from 1 species
AGCGAACGCUGGCGGCAGGCCUAACACAUGCAAGUCGAACGAACCUUUCGGGGUUAGUGGCGGACGGGUGGGUAACACGUGGGAACGUGCCUUUAGGUUCGGAAUAACUCAGGGAAACUUGUGCUAAUACCGAAUGUGCCCUUCGGGGGAAAGAUUAAUCGCCUUUAGAGCGGCCCGCGUCUGAUUAGCUAGUUGGUUGAGGUAAUGGCUCACCAAGGCGACGACCAGUAGCUGGUCUGAGAGGAUGAUCAGCCACAUUGGGACUGAGACACGGCCCAAACUCCUACGGGAGGCAGCAGUGGGGAAUCUUGCGCAAUGGGCGAAAGCCUGACGCAGCCAUGCCGCGUGAAUGAUGAAGGUCUUAGGAUUGUAAAAUUCUUUCACCGGGGACGAUAAUGACGGUACCCGGAGAAGAAGCCCCGGCUAACUUCGUG